rnacentral:rRNA from 1 species
CCUACGGGAGGCAGCAGUAGGGAAUAUUGCUCAAUGGGGGAAACCCUGACGCAGCAACGCCGCGUGGAGGAUGAAGGUUUUCGGAUUGUAAACUCCUUUUGUUAGAGAAGAUAAUGACGGUAUCUAACGAAUAAGCACCGGCUAACUCCGUGCCAGCAGCCGCGGUAAUACGGAGGGUGCAAGCGUUACUUGGAAUCACUGGGCGUAAAGAGGGAGUAGGCGGGAUAGCAAGUCAGAUGUGAAAUCCAAGGGCUUAACCAUAGAACUGCAUUUGAAACUGUUAUUCUAGAGUAUGGGAGAGGUAGGUGGAAUUCUUGGUGUAGGGGUAAAAUGCGUAGAGAUUAGGAGGAAUACUCAUUGCGAAGGCGACCUGCUAGAACAUAACUGACGCUGAUGCGCGAAAGCGUGGGGAGCAAACAGGAUUAGAUACCCUUGUAGUC